UUGACGAAUAUGUGAUCACCCACUCUUACAAUACAAAAGAAUAAGGGUUUGCCAAUUAAGAAAAGAGGCAACCCUGACCUUCUUCAGAAGCAAUUUCUCUCCUCUCUUGAUCUCAAUCAACCAGCACAAAUUGAACCGCAAGAUCAAUACAAUUUUGAGGUAAACUUAUUUUUUAAUUGAAUUCACUCUUAUAAUCCUAUAAUUUUGAUGUACGUCUUAAUUUUAGAUGAUGUAAUUUCUGUUAUUUUUUUCAAUUGUUGUGAACAACUUAAUUAUAAGUAGUUAUUAUUUUCCUAUUAUUGCUUUUCUCACUUUGAAAACACUUACAAAUCUAUAACAUUAUUUGAUCUUAAUUAUGGAAUUUUUUGGUUGUACAUUCAAAGGUUGAACAAACAAUGACGGAGAUACAAAAAGGAAGUAUCAUUGAGUCAGAUGUGAAUGAGAAUAUCGAUCCGUCGCAUAAAUCAUCAUCAAAAUUGAGCUCCGACAAUUUACACCCUAUUGUGAUGGGAUGUACGUUUUGCUUGAUGUUUGUGAUGGN
rnacentral:lncRNA from 1 species